rnacentral:lncRNA from 1 species
AUGGCACAGGAAGGGAGAGGGGCAUUGCAGCUCCCCCGUGCUGCUCGCAGGGAGGCAGGGGGUGGGAAAUUCCUCCUCUCCUCCCCUUGCCCCCAUUUUGAGGGGCGAGAGAGCUGUGGCAACUCACAUAUAAUGCGGCGGGGGGCACAUCUAGCACCCCAGCUCAGCAGGGCUGUGUGGGCGCUGGGUAAGGAACCCCAGAUCCAUGCCCAUCUCUGCAACCCCUGGUGCUGGGGGGCAGCGGGACCCCCAGGCAGCCCCUGCAGCCCCUCUCCCCUCGGGCACAGCAGCCACCACUCCUUCUCUCCUUCUCCUCGGCGGCGUGGCGGCGGGGAAGCCCGGGCAGCGUCCCAUCGGGCGCCGAGCCAAAGCGGGCUCCGACCACGGCCGUUCCCCUUGCCACCUGCCUUCAGCCCGCUGCCCCCUCCUGCCACCACCCGGUCCCGUGUCCCGCGUGGGUGUGCGGGGACCUUCCCCCGGCGCGGGGAUGCUGCCAGCAGCCCCUCCUCCCCACCUGGGAAACAGGCUCCCUUCUCUUCCCAGCCCGCUGUGCAGACACCAGGCUUUGCACGUAGCAAAUGGAGGCGAUUUCCUCCUCAGCGGCGGCACAUGGAAAGUAUUGAGCUGUGUGUGGGUUUUUUUUUUUUUCUUCUUCGUUUUUUUUUUUUUUCCUCCUUCUGUAUUUUUUUUUUCCCCUUCCCUUGCCCGACAGGCUGUCAGCGUGCUGUUGGACGCGGGAUUAUAGCUCCCACUCUUCUCCGCUUGUGUACAUCUGCGCCUGGUCAUCCUGCGCGGUGCUGGAUGUCAGGAAAUGACUUAAUCAGAGAGCCAGCACCGCCUGACAUGGCCAGGAAAGGGAAGGGAGGGAGAGGGGGAAUCGGUGGGGGCAUUGGGAAGCGGGGAGAAGAAGGAAAGGGGUUUUUGGAGAUCCCUUGUGCUGCUGUUCCCGCAGCAGGAGUGGUGUCUCCCCCUGAUACUGCAGCACAGGGCAGAGGGAUGGAGCUGGGGGGUGCUGAGGCUGCACCCACAGCAGAAAGAAGUCAUCCAUGGGGUGUGUGA